AGAGUUUGAUCCUGGCUCAGGAUGAACGCUGGCGGCGUGCUUAACACAUGCGAGUCGAACGAUCCUUCGGGAUAGUGGCGGACGGGUGAGUAACGCGUGGGAGUCUGCCCUCAGGAGGGGGAUAACGGCUGGAAACGGCCGCUAAUACCCCAUAUGCCGAGAGGUAAAAUGAAUUUCGCCUGAGGAUGAGCCCGCGUCUGAUUAGCUAGUUGGUGGGGUAAUGGCCUACCAAGGCAACGAUCAGUAGCUGGUCUGAGAGGAUGAUCAGCCACACUGGGACUGAGACACGGCCCAGACUCCUACGGGAGGCAGCAGUGGGGAAUUUUCCGCAAUGGGCGAAAGCCUGACGGAGCAACGCCGCGUGAGGGAUGAAGGCCUCUGGGCUGUAAACCUCUUUUCUCAAGGAAGAAGACCUGACGGUACUUGAGGAAUAAGCCACGGCUAAUUCCGUGCCAGCAGCCGCGGUAAUACGGGAGUGGCAAGCGUUAUCCGGAAUUAUUGGGCGUAAAGCGUCCGCAGGCGGCCUUGUAGUCUGUUGUUAAAGCGUGGAGCUCAACUCCAUUUAAGCAAUGGAAACUACAAGGCUGGAGUGUGGUAGGGGCAGAGGGAAUUCCCGGUGUAGCGGUGAAAUGCGUAGAUAUCGGGAAGAACACCAGUGGCGAAGGCGCUCUGCUGGGCCAUAACUGACGCUCAUGGACGAAAGCCAGGGGAGCGAAAGGGAUUAGAUACCCCUGUAGUCCUGGCCGUAAACGAUGAACACUAGGUGUCGGGGGAAUCGACCCCCUCGGUGUCGUAGCCAACGCGUUAAGUGUUCCGCCUGGGGAGUACGCACGCAAGUGUGAAACUCAAAGGAAUUGACGGGGGCCCGCACAAGCGGUGGAGUAUGUGGUUUAAUUCGAUGCAACGCGAAGAACCUUACCAGGGUUUGACAUCCUGCGAACCCCUGAGAAAUCGGGGGGUGCCUUCGGGAGCGCAGAGACAGGUGGUGCAUGGCUGUCGUCAGCUCGUGUCGUGAGAUGUUGGGUUAAGUCCCGCAACGAGCGCAACCCACGUCUUUAGUUGCCAGCAUUCAGUUGGGCACUCUAGAGAGACCGCCGGUGAUAAACCGGAGGAAGGUGUGGAUGACGUCAAGUCAUCAUGCCCCUUACAUCCUGGGCUACACACGUACUACAAUGCUACGGACAAAGGGCAGCAAGCUCGCGAGAGUUAGCAAAUCCCAUAAACCGUGGCUCAGUUCAGAUCGUAGGCUGCAACUCGCCUACGUGAAGGAGGAAUCGCUAGUAAUCGCAGGUCAGCAUACUGCGGUGAAUACGUUCCCGGGCCUUGUACACACCGCCCGUCACACCAUGGAAGUUGGCCAUGCCCGAAGUCGUUACUCCAACCCUUG
rnacentral:rRNA from 1 species